rnacentral:misc_RNA from 1 species
CUGAACUUCCACUAAAAGAACUGACCUGAACUUUUCCAAAUAAAGAGGUAGAUUUCAGUUCUCUUUGUAUUGCGUUAUGGGACAAAUCCAGAAUUUUCAAGUUUUUCACUUUUGAUAAAACUAUUAAGAAUGGCUAGCUGAUUCUGUUUUAGAUUUAGAAGGAUACAAAUCCAAAAUUGCUGAAGUUGGCAAUUAGGCAUUCCUGCCAAACCUCUGUAAUCGGGCCCGAAAGGUCAUUACUGUUUAGUUUUAAAAAUGAGGUCUACUUGCCAGAUUGGCCCAAUAAGCUCGCUGUAACUUAGAUCCAAAGUUGGCAGAAGGCUCCCAAUUUUGUUAUACUGCAACCUUCUAUUGGAUCCUCCAGUCUUGCGAAGAGGAACGCCAGGGGUGCUUCCAUCUAUUUUGAUAUUCUUCUUGGCAAGGGAUUGUAGUUCCGUCAAAUCUUUUGGUAUUUCAUCAGUCAAGGAAUUGUUAUACACAUCCAAAUAAAAGAGACUACUGAAGUUGCCUAGCAAGGGUGGAACUAUUCCACCCAAGAAAUUCCAGGACAGUUCUAAAAACUGCAGCAUUUUGCAACCUCUCAAACGCAAUGGAAUUGAACCUCUGAGUUGAAAAUUGGCAAUAAUGAGUGCCCUGAGAUUUUUCAAUUGCAAAUUCACAUCAUUGGGCAUUUGUUCAUCCUGAAAAUUGAGAUUCAUGACUAUUGCGUAGUCAAGUUGUUUCAUUGUUGUCGAAUUCCAAGAUCUGCUGAUAUGUUUUCAAUGCUGGUAUUUGAGAGGGAAAGGUGCGUCAGGGUCUGGAGAUUCUUGAAGUUGUAAGG